rnacentral:rRNA from 1 species
CGCUGCCUAAACAUGCAAGUCGAACGGCAGCACAGCCCGCAAGGGUGGGUGGCGAGUGGCGGACGGGUGAGGAAUACAUCGGAAUCUACCCUGUCGUGGGGGAUAACCAGCCGAAAGGUUGGCUAAUACCGCAUACGACCGAGAGGUGAAAGCGGAGGACCUUCGGGCUUCGCGCGAUUGGAUGAGCCGAUGUCGGAUUAGCUAGUUGGCGGGGUAAAGGCCCACCAAGGCGACGAUCCGUAGCUGGUCUGAGAGGAUGAUCAGCCACACUGGGACUGAGACACGGCCCAGACUCCUACGGGAGGCAGCAGUGGGGAAUAUUGGACAAUGGGCGCAAGCCUGAUCCAGCAAUGCCGCGUGUGUGAAGAAGGCCUUCGGGUUGUAAAGCACUUUUAUCAGGAACGAAAAGUCUUCGGUUAAUACCCGGGGAUGCUGACGGUACCUGAGGAAUAAGCACCGGCUAACUUCGUGCCAGCAGCCGCGGUAAUACGAAGGGUGCAAGCGUUAGUCGGAAUUACUGGGCGUAAAGCGUGCGUAGGUGGUUUCUUAAGUCCGUUGUGAAAGCCCUGGGCUCAACCUGGGAACUGCAGUGGAUACUGGGAGGCUAGAGUGUGUCAGAGGAUGGUGGAAUUCCCGGUGUAGCGGUGAAAUGC